AACGGUCUAUACCUGCGGUACCUGCGGAGGGAUCAUUACAGAGUUCGUGCCCUCUGGGUAGAUCUCCCACCCACUGUUUUCCUUACGACCGUUGCUUUGGCGGGCCGCCGGCCCUGCCCGGCCGCCGGCGCCCAGCUGGCGCGCGCCCGCCAGAGGCCCUCCAGACUCUGAAUGUUAGCGUCGUCUGAGUACCACAUAAUAAGUUAAAACUUUCAGCAAUGGAUCUCUAGAUCGGAAGAG
rnacentral:misc_RNA from 1 species